UUCUAAAAUCCUGUAAAACAUUCUAACAUCCGAGUUCUGGCUCCGUAGAGGAAGGACCUCAAGGAUGGAAUGUUUUUGCCUCCUUCGCUCUCAAAGUCUGCAGGUCGGCAGGCCGGUCUGAAAACGCCUCGUCGCUACACGUCAGAAACCGCCCAAUCCCGAGCGCCGGUGCACGGGGGCUCCGCCCACCGCUGAGGACCGGCCAAUCGCGUUGAGGCUUGGGAGCGACUCAGCUUUGGACCGUCGAACUUAAACGCACAGCGCGUCUGGAAUGAGAGCAAAAUGUUGUCAAUAACAACCAAGGUGAGAAAGGAUCACAACAACCUCCUGAGAGAAACCAGAAAAAGUGAUGACCAACUACAAUAAAGCAGAAGAUUCCUCU